rnacentral:rRNA from 1 species
CCUAGGGAGGCAGCAGUGGGGGAUAUUGCACAAUGGGGGGAACCCUGAUACAGCGACGCCGCGUGGGUGAAGAAGCGCCUCGGCGCUUAAAGCCCUGUCAGCCGGGAAGAAAAUGACGGUACCUGAAGAAGCAUCCCCGGAUAACUACGUGCCAGCAGCCGCGGUGAUACGUAGGGGGCAAGCGUUAUCCGGAUGUACUGGGUGUAAAGGGGGCGCAGAUGGCGAGGCAAGCCAGGAGUGAACGCCCGGGGCCCAACCCAGGGACUGCUCUUGGAACUGCGUGGCGGGAGUGCAGGAGGGGCAGGCGGAAUGCCUGGUGUAGCGGUGAAAUGCGGAGAUAUCAGGAGGAACACCGGUGGCGAAGGCGGCCUGCUGGACUGCAACUGACGUUGAGGCCCGAAAGCGUGGGGAGCAAACAGGAUUAGAUACCCCGGUAGUC